CUCAGCAUGGACUUUACCUUGGUUUCAAUAAUGACUGCUGCACUUUAACUAUAUAAUAUAUAUAUUAUAUAGUAAAUAUAUAUAUUUAUAUUUUAAAUAUAUAUAUUUUAAUAUAUAUAUUAAAAGUGCAGAAGUCAUUAUUGAAACCAAGGUAAAAUCCAUGCUGAG